rnacentral:rRNA from 1 species
AGGCUUGGUAAAUUACUUGUGAAAUCGCAAGGCCUAACUUUGCGUAUUGCAGGUAAGACUGCCUCGCUAGAGACCAGGAGAUGUUGGAGGUAUUUAGGGGGGAGCGGUAAAAUGCGAGAAUCCCCUGAAGACCACCUAUUGCGAAGGCAUCCAACGAUAAUGGGUCUGACUGUGAGGGACGAAAGCUAGGGGAGCGAACCGGAUUAGAUACCCGAGUAGUCCUAGCCCUAAACGCUGCGAGCUAGGUGUUGCAGAAUCUUCGGGGUUAUGCAGUAUCGUAGAGAAGGCGAUAAGCUAGCCGCCUGGGAA